AAUUAAUAGUCUGCAAGGGAUCAUAUGAUGUUUAAAAACUAAAAGUGGAAAAAAGUAGUGGCCGAGACUAUAGUGGAGAUUUGAAAGGUGCCUUGGGAAAGGUCAGUGCAGUCAUCUUUAACUGGGAUAUCUUCCUCUUUACUUCUCCACUCGUUUUACUUCAGCAGGAGGACUUUGCUGAAUGGCAGAGUACAGACUUCAACAGAGGAAAGAAUCCAUUCAAUAUGUGGAGGAAACUGGGCUUUCAUGUUAAAGGAUAAAACCUAAAUGCAAAUUAGAGGAAACAGUAUUGUUGGCUGGGCGUGGUGGCUCAUGCCUGUAAUCCCAGCACUUUGGGAGGCCAAGGCAGGCGAAUCACCGAAGGUCAGGCGUUCAAGACCAGCCUGGCCAACAUGAUAACCACGGAGGCCCAGCUUCAUUCAAUAAGGAGCCUGACGGAUUUAUCCCAGACAGUAGAACAAAAGGAAGAAUAUUGAUGGAUUUUAAACCAGAGUUUUUAAAGAGCUUGAGAAUACGGGGAAAUUAAUUUGUUCUCCUACACGCAUAU
rnacentral:lncRNA from 1 species